rnacentral:rRNA from 1 species
CAGCCGCCGCGGUAAUACCGGCGGCCCGAGUGGCGGUCACUAUUAUUGGGCUUAAAGCGUCCGUAGCCGGGGUGGGAAGUCCUCCGGGAAAUCUGGCCGCUUAACGGUCAGAAUGCCGGAGGAUACUCCCAGCCUAGGGAGCGGGAGAGGCCGAGGGGAUUCCCGGAGUAGGGGUGAAAUCCUAUAAUCCCGGGAGGACCACCUGUGGCGAAGGCGCUCGGCUGGAACGCGUCCGACGGUGAGGGACGAAGGCCAGGGGAGCAAACCGGAUUAGAUACCCGGGUAGUCCUGGCUGUAAACGAUGCGGACUUUGUGUCGGACAAGCUAUGAGCUUGCCCGGUGCCGGAGGGAAACCGUUAAGUCCGCCGCCUGGGGAGUACGGCCGCAAGGCUGAAACUUAAAGGAAUUGGCGGG